rnacentral:lncRNA from 1 species
AUAGGCCGACUUGGGCCUUCUUUGGUCUUUGACUCCGAAAUCUUCAGUAGUUUCGACCAUCAUUACUUCAAAUGAUUCAACUAAUAAGGUUGCAUUGAGAACCUCAGAGAGACCAUCAGUAGUCUCCACCAUCAUGCACUCUAGAGGCUUUGCAUACAACGCUUCUUCCACCUUCAAAGGGUCAGAAUCCACCUACAUUUUUUGCCUUUCGCCAAACUGGAGCCUUCCUUCUUUUAGAGCUUUCUGC